rnacentral:rRNA from 1 species
GACAGAGGGUGCAAACGUUGCUCGGAAUCACUGGGCGUAAAGGGCGCGUAGGCGGAUCUUUAAGUCGGGGGUGAAAGCCCAGGGCUCAACCCUGGAAUUGCCUUCGAUACUGGAGAUCUUGAGACCGGAAGAGGUAAGUGGAACUGCGAGUGUAGAGGUGAAAUUCGUAGAUAUUCGCAAGAACACCAGUGGCGAAGGCGGCUUACUGGGCCUUUCCUGACGCUGAGACGCGAAAGCGUGGGGAGCGAACCGG